rnacentral:rRNA from 1 species
CCUACGGGAGACUGCAGUGAGGAAUAUUGGUCAAUGGGCGCGAGCCUGAACCAGCCAAGUAGCGUGAAGGAUGACUGCCCUACGGGGUGUAAACUUCUUUUAUAAAGGAAUAAAGUGAGGCACGUGUGCCUUUUUGUAUGUACUUUAUGACUAAGGAUCGGCUAACUCCGUGCCAGCAGCCGCGGUAAUAAGGAGGAUCCGAGCGUUAUCCGGAUUUAUUGGGAUUAAAGGGAGCGUAGAUGGGUUGUUAAGUCAGUUGUGAAAGUUUGCGGCUAAACCGUAAAAUUGCAAUUGAUACUGGCAGUCUUGAGUACAGGUGAGGUAGGCGGAAUUCGGGGUGUAGCGGUGUAAUGCUUAGAUAUCACGAAGAACUCCGAUUGCGAAGGCAGCUUACUAAACUGCCACUGACAUUGAUGCUCGAAAGUGUGGGUAUCAAACAGGAUUAGAUACCCGGUAGUC